GUGAGUCUGAUCUUGAAGAGCCUUUUAAGCUGGGGGAGUAUUUUCCAAGAGCAAAGGGAACCGGUGAACUGUUUAACAGAGCUUGCGUUUAUGGAGCGUGAGGAACGUGGCACAGACUGGGAGCAGGCAUUCAGGACCCGGCUUCGGCUGUCAGGGAAGCCGGCGAGGAGGAAGGAGAGUGGCUUGAGCACACGGAACCCCAGACGCUGACCAACAUCUGCUGGUUCUUUCUUUCUCCUCCCCGCUCCUCAGUCACUCACAGCGCCAGCUACGUGCAGGGCCCCACGCCAGGGGGCAGGGACACCCACUGCUCCGCGCUCCCAGACCUCAGCAGGCCCUUGGUUAUUGCUCUUGCUUUUCCAGAAGUCAUGUGGAGUAAGAUAAAUAUAGUUUAUGGAUUCGCACAACUGGUUCUGCCACUUAUUAAGCACACAAGCCGGGGCAAAUCACUUAACCUUUCUGAGUUUCCCUUUCCUGAUUUGUAAAUAACUAUUAUAGCUACUUCAGAAGGCUAUUGCAAGAAUCAAAGACAAAGUAUAUAAAAACUUUAAACCUCAUGAAAGCCCUGUUCAGAUGAUGCGCUUUCCUCUCUUUGUCUCUCUACCAUCCAUGUGCUCUAGUUCUCCUAUUCUUUUCUUUUUCUCUCUCUCCUUUCAUUGUUUUCUCUAUUAAAUUAGUUCAGCAAAUAUUUCUCGUGAGCCUGUGCUAUUCAUCCAUCUAAAUGUCUGCCCAUGCUUGCUUCCCACACACACAUUCCCAUCAUGGAGCUUACUCUAUGAUCACUUAGGGACAUAGAACAAAGCUCACAAUGUAUUUUUAAGUGGAAAAUAAAACUGAUUACAAAAUAUGUUUGAUUGACAAGCAGGUGUUUUGGUGAAUAUGUGUGUGCUGUGUGAAAGGGAGCGAGAGAGAAAAAGUACAAAUAUAUUCGUCGAGCCAAAGAUUGGAAAAUAUACCUCAAAACAUUAGCAGAGUACCUCUAGAUGCUUUCAUUUGGCUUUGUUUUCCCAUUUUCUUGUAUUUUCCUGUAUUUUUCAAAUUUUCUGCCAGAAAUACAUUUGAUAAAUAGUAAAGCAGCCCAACAUGUUUUAAGAAAAAUAUACGACAUCAAAUGUUAUGAAUAAGUUAUACAUAGGAUGUUAUGGGAAUGGAUGUUUCUGAAUUAAAUGUGACUGGGUAGAAUCUCUGUGCUUAGCUUUGAAGGAUAAAAAGCUCUUUAGGAAAGACCUUAGUGAAUGGCAUUCGGGAGAAGGACCCACGGUGUGCAGACCCUGUCAGGAAACAAUGUUCUGUGUGCAGCCCCUGUCACCGGAAGUGUGUCCUGGGCUGCACUGGGAGAUGGGAAUUAGAAGCCACGCUAUGAAUCUUAGCUUUUAUCCUCUAAGUACAGAGGCAUUUAAGCAGAGGAUGUGUAUAGUCAGGCCUUCAUUCCUAUAGGUUACAGUGGUGGCAGUGUGAAAUGCAUAAUAAAGAGGUUAGAAACAGACAGGAAGCACGGAAAUUUGCCAGGACGCUAGUGUCCAAGUAAAAGACAGUGAAGGUCUGGACCAGAACAAUGUGGUGAGAAUGGAGAGAAAUAUUUUAGGGAUGAUUGAGAAUUGUUUAAGGCUUAUUUCCCAUUCUGCCUAUGUUAUACUAUAUUGUUAAAUUAGCAACAUUAUAACUUAUUUAAGAAAGUAUACUUAGGUGCCUAUAUAAUAUGCCUGCAUAAUUUUCCAGCUGGAACAAAAGUAUCAAAGGGCAUGGGAAGGCUAAGACCCAAAGACCUUGGAAGAUUUCAUAAUUUGGCGUGGGUCUCACUUCUGCAAGCCCAGAGGAGUCAGUCAGAGCUAGAAAAUGCUUCCCUCUGGUCCGAAACUAAGCUACGGGGAGACGGGAAACAGCAGAGGGCCUGAGAGACUCUGGAGGAGGACCCACCAAUGUUAUCGGCAGACAAGACCAGAUUAGCAACUGUGGUCUUGUGGGCAGUCAGAGAGCAGGCUGUGCAGUGAUGUGGCCUGGAAAGAGAGAGGAGGGUUGUGUGUGUGUGUGUGUGUGUGUGUGUGUGUGUGUGUGUGUGUGUGUGUGUGUUUGGCUUUUUCUGAGUCAUGUUUAGUCUUUAUAACAGAGACUUUCCACCUGGCAUAAAGACAGUCAAGAGUUAAGAGAGACAGCAAAGCGCCUAAGUAUUUCAUGACAGCAGGGCGCCAACACAAGUUUGCUGGCAGUGAGCAGCAGCUUGGCUGUCCACACUAAGGAGAGACAUGGGCACAGGGAGGAAUACAUUCCCGAGCUCUUCUUUGGCCCAUGUUUUUACUUUGUUGACUUAAAAAAUAAUCACCACCUAAAAACUGAGAGCUAUGUUUUAUUUGGUAGGAAUUUUUAGGACUUCAAGGCCAACAGACAGCAUCUCAAGUAAUCCUGAGAGAACUGCUCCGAGGAAGGGCAGGCGGGAAGUAAGGGGUCAGGUCAUAUAGAAGAAGUGAAGUGAAGUCGCUCAGUCGUGUCUGACUCUGCGCCCCCAUGGACUGUAGCCUAACAGGAUCCUCGGUCCAUGCGAUUUUCCAGGCAAGAGUACUGGAGUGGGUUGCCAUUUCCUUCUCCAGGGCAUCUUCCCAACCCAGGGAUCGAACCCGGGUCUCCCGUAUUGUAGGCAAAUGCUUUACCGUCUGAGCCAGAAGUUUGUAACAAAGGGCUGGUAGCCUGAACACCAAGAGAUUGUUGUGAAUUAAAGAAACCUAGAUAUCUCAAGUUAAGGAGUUUAGCACUUUUUUAUGUGUGAGAAGAUGCAGGAGUCUGCUCCCUGAAACCAUUGCUUUCAUCAUCUCAGCUGGGUUGAGUAUCCAGCGAUUUUUCACAUCCUGAGUUCUUCAGGACGCCCCACAGGGAGUGGCUGCAGCCUUACAGCUGCCAAAUCUAUGCAGGUAUUCUUCUUCUUCCUGAGCGCCCUGGAGGGCAGGAAGCCCUGAUGGCUGUGACCUCCUUGCUUAUCGAUCUGAUAAGAAAUACUUCAUUUCUCAGUCUCACCCAAGUUUUGCUUUAUGUUUGCACCAAGUGAGUAAAUGCUUUCCUAAUGAAAUUUUGAGGCUUUUUCUUAAACCCCUCUUUCUAAUCAUAUUCAUGGGAAGUGUCUAAAAUCCUCCAAGUAAGGCACAAAUCUUCUUUCAUGAACAAAGUGAAUACUGAUAUUGAAAUCCAAGAUAAGUUUUAGGUGCUCUCAGCCUUCUGGCUGGAUGUAGGCUGGCACAAGAGAAGCCUUAAUAAAAGGACUCAGGAACACAAGGAGGAUUUAUGAUAGAGCGCAAAGAGUUGGGUUUGGAGGUCUGGAGCCCUGACGUCAGCCCACAGAGGGUCACAGCAUCUUUCUCUGAAGGGCUCGCUGAGCUCAGCUGCUUGGGGAAGUCAAGCCUCUGGUCAGAUCAGAGGGGUUGAACAAACUCAGGUAGUCCCUAAGGGUCUUUUCAUUUGUAUAUUUAGAUUCCGUGGACCAGGGGGACUUAAAAUAACAAUUAUUUGCAGCUUUGCAGAAAAUUAGAGAAACCUGUAAGAGUGAGCUUUCUAUAACAGGAUAACAGGAUUUAAACUGAACCAGCACAGAAAGCCAGAGGUAGAACUCAGAAAAAUACUUUUUUCCAGUGAGGUUUGUUCUGAUUUUCAAAGGGCUGUGUCCUCCUCUAGCCCUAUAUUAAAGUAUGCUUGGUGUUUGGGAGGGCGCUGUCUUUGUGUGUUGAUUUCUUUUAAUGAUGGUGAAAAUUCUUUCUUGGGCAAAAAAGGCCAAGAGCAGAGGAACUAUAGUGAGGUGGCAGGGGGCGCUGGGGGUGGGGUGGCAGCUGUCCUCAGAUUGGAUGCCAGGAAACAACCUGUCACAUGACCUCCAAGAACCUGAAGGCUUGAGGAAUCACUUUUCUGAGAAGACUUGCCUAGCAAACACCUCACCCACAGCUUCCUCUAGCCAGUAAGUCCUAAAGCUCAGGGUUAGCAGGGCAAGAGCACCUACCUCGAUCUCUCCAGUCCUGGAGUCCCGCCCUCCAAAAUGGCUCAGAGAAGCCAGCAAUUUCCUUUUCUGGCUUUCUUUUCCCUUUUCCUAUUGCAUUCUACUUCACAGGCAAAAGAAUUAUCUCCUAUGAAACAGAAUGAAGCUUACUUUAUAGUUUUGAUUCUGGUUAGGCCCACAAGGACAUACAAUAAUAUUUCUCUUGCCUUUUCUUUUUUUAAAGUAUUUGUUUGGGCUGCGCUUCUAUGAGCCAGGUCUUGUUCUGGGAGGGGCUGAAAUUGCCUGAGGGAGGCUGUAUGGGUGGAGUAAGAAAAUCUGAGUGGGAUUUCAGUGUUGAUGAGCAGGUAAAAAUUCUGUGUGUGUGUGUCUGUCUGUCGGUCUGUCUAACCCUUAGAAAAAGUUAAUUAUCAUAUUUCCAAGUACUCAGAGCAGAAUGGAUGAUACACUGAACAAUUUUGACGUUGCAUUUUGAUGCUCUGUUUGAAAUUCCCCCAGAACAAUGGCUCUAGGUCUGGUUUCUACAUUGCCUCUGAGGGUCCCCUUUUGUGAAAUGCUAAGGGCUGGACAGACUUGAGAUCCUCAGAUUACUUCUACUCCCCCACCUCCCUACAUUAUCAUUUCCCUACCAUAUUAUACAGUGAAAGAAUGUCAUCUAACUUUUUGAGAAAGACAGCUAGCUGGCAAAAUAUACCUCUUUCCUUCUCUGCGUUAGAGGCAGAUUCUGAGACCCUUCUCUAUGUCAAAAUGAUACCUAUAUUUCAAAGCACAGACAGCGUACAUUGUGAAGCCUCCUCUAAUUCUUCCAAACCCAAAACUAAAUGAAACAAACUAUAUGUGUAUAUAUACGGCUUCCAUCAUGGCUCAGUGGAAAAGAAUCUGCCUGUCAAUUCAGGAGACAGGGUUUGAUCCCUGGGUUGGGUUGGGAAAAUCCCCUGGAGAAGGAAAUGGAAACCCACUCCAGUAUUCUUACCUGGGAAAUCCCAUGGACAGAAGAGCCUGGCAGGCUACAGUCCAAAGGGUGUAAAAGAAUUGGACAUGACUUAGCAACUAAAUAAAAACAACAACAACUCUAUAUAUAUAAGGUUUCCCUCUCUUAAACUUCCAAGUGCAUUUAAGGGUACAUAGUUGUGUUUUGUUAAUCUAUGAUGAGAAUUAAGUCUAUGUCAGGUGCUAGGUUAAGUGUUUUACAUGUAUUAACAUUGUAGGGAAAUGCAACUUUUGACUCCGUCUCAUAUCUGAACAAAGAGAUCAUGUAACUUGCCCAUGACCACUGGGAAAUGGUAGAGUCAUUUAUUUCCUGUAUUGAUAGAGAUAGUACUCCAUCUUUUGCUAAGAUUUUAUUAUGUUUUACCUACCUUUUGCUUGCAAGAAUAAUUGACAUUUGUAAGGGGAUUAACAUUUUACCAUUCAUCAGCUCAUUAAUGUCAAAAAUACUUUUGUGAUGUUGUUAUUACUAUUUUCCCCACGUUUCACAGGAAGUAUGUGGAAGAAAUAGUAUUCGGCCAGCUGAUAUUUCACCCGACCUCAGGCCACUGAACUCCCUUGCCUGGCCUCCUGCAAGGUCAGCUUGGUGUUUUCAUUGCCUUUGCAGGGCUAGAACUUUUACUUCACCACAGCUACCAAAAGAUCUAAAUUAUGGUACCAGGGCAGGGGCAUGGCCCGUACUGGCCCAGGCUUAAUCUAAGAGCUACACAAAGGAGAGAGGGCUCAGAUCUUUCUCAAGUUGUCCAGGUGGUCAUCUGUAUCUGCAAGUUUUCCAUCCACAGAUUUGGAGAGCUGUCCUCACGGUACUAUGCUAGUUUAUAUAAGGGCCUUAAGAGUCCAUGAAUUUUGGUAUCAGUAGAGGUCCUGGAACCAGUCCCUCCCAGGGAUAAUGAAGGGUGUGCUCCAAUAGAAUGUAGAAUUUCCCUUUAUAUUGGAGAAUUAUAGGCUAUAAGGGGCCAGGUCAAUAUGACCAGUGGCUUUGUAUGACCAGAUCAGUAUACCCAGUGGCUUUUAUCAGCUGAAGUCUUCAUAUUGGUUUAUAGAAUGGGUCCUGCUCUUCUCUGAGAAUAGAAUGAAGAUUCAGGUCCAUUUGGCCAGCACAUACCAAGAAAAACUAAAUUGGGUUAGAGAGUCCCUUAACUGAAUCCCUGCAUAAAGGGCAUGUUACAGUUCAUUAAUGAGAAAAUGAUGAGCACUUACUAUACACCAAAAUAUAUGUGCAUAUUAGAGCUUUAGAAGUACAAUUGACCAAGAAUUUUUCCACACCUUUGGGAUUUUGUCAGUCUAAAUAAAGAAGUAAACUGGAACAAGCUCCAAUGACCAGAAAUUGAGUUUAUUUGGAAAUAGCAGAUGAAUUGCAAUUCAGAAAACAUGUACUAAUUAUGAUUGGACUUUUCUGCGGAAUAUCUAGCCAGGAGACCUGAAUCUGCUUGCAAUAAAGAAGAGAAAGUUAAAAAAAAAAAACCAAAACAGAGGACAUGUGCUGUAGCAAGUUACAGCAUAAUUUGAAGAAGCUUAUCAAGCUUAUCAAGUCAAAGCUAUGGUUUUUCCAGUAGUCAUGUACAGAUGUCAGAACUGGACCAUAAAGAAGCCUGAGUGCUAAAGAAUCGAUGCUUUUGAACUGUGAUGUUAGAAAAGACUCUUGAGAGUCCCUUGGACAGCAAGGAUAUCAAACCAGUCCAUCCUAAAGGAAAUCAACCCUGAAUAUUCAUUGGAAGGACUGAUGCUGAAGCUGAAACUCCAGCACUUUGGCCACCUGAUGUGAAAAGCUGGCUCAUUGGAAAAGACCCAGUCUUUCCCUGCUGGGAAAGAUUGAGGACACGGGGAGAAGUGGGUGACCGAGGAUGAGAUGGUUGGAUGGGAUCAUCGACUCAGUGGAUAUGAGUUUGAGGAAACUCCAGGAGAUAGUGAAGGACAGGGAAGCCUGGCGUGCUGCAGUCCAUGGGGUCACCAAGAAUUGGACAUGAUUGAGAAACUGAACAACAACAAAAAUCAAACUUCCUCGUUGCAUCAUGCAGGAUCUUUCAUUGUGGUGUGUGGACUCUCUCAUUGUGGCACGUGGACUCAGUGGUUGCAACACACAGGCUUAGUUCCUCUGAGGAACCCCACAGUAGGGGAACUUUUGGUCCCACACAACUUUGAGCCUCUCCUGAUAAACAGCCCAGCAGGUGUCUCAGUACUCUGAUUUACUUGCAGCUCGCCCGUCUGUCCAGCGGCUUUACCAGGCUGGAUGGAAGAAGGAAAGACCACCAGGAAAGCGCGUGGCUCAAGUGGAGCUAUAAACCAGCUCUGCACUCUUCCGAGGAUUUAUAUUCAACUGAAGACGCGUCCAAUGCAGGACGUUAUGGCUUUCUGCUUUCUUUUUGCUUACAUGGAGAAAUAACAGUUAAUAUAGUCAACUAUCCCAAGGCAGAAGACUAUUAUUAAAAAAGAAUACUUUGCAACAUUAUUGAUUUCUCAAGUCACUGUCAGAUAUUUUAAGAUUUGGAUUUAAUAAAACAUAAUAUGAUUUCUUUUAUGGGAUUUUUAUGUUUUCCCAGUCUUUAUCACCCUUGGGUGUUUCUUAGUUGAAAAUGAGAGUAUCUACCAAGUAUCAGCUGAACAAAUCCUGAUCUAAGUUAUAAAAACUUUUAUGGCCACACUGUCGUUUUCCUCCACUUACCUCUUUCUGUAAGCAGAUUUGUGGGGCAGGGGUCGUCCCUGGAGAAAGAGCACCAGGCAUGGCUUUCUUGACAUAAGAGGAGGGCUUGGCCCAAGCCCUUUAUGAUCUCAGCCUGGCCAUAAUGCUCGAUCUUGAACAGGUCUCAGUGAUAAAUAGUCUUAAGGGAACAAAAAAAAAAAAAGCAUAAAUAACAGACUGUUAACGGGCUAGAGAAAUAACAAGAGCAAAAAUAUUAGAUCUGUCGCAAAGACUUUCAGUUCUCUUUUGAUGGUAAAGACCAGCCUAAAGCACAGUCUUGAGCCAUUUUGUAGAAGCUAAAUGCCAACAACUAGAUCAACUGGAAUCUGAAGCAGAGCGGUAUUGACCUUUUCUGACCCUCUUGACUUCAAUCAACUGAAGCUUGGACUCUGCCUCCCAUCCAGGCCCCUUCAUGAAUAUGCAUGUACCAAUCGCUUAAGCGUCCCCUCUUUGCUGUUCAGAGAAAACACUGCUUUGGGAAAGAUCCCUAGUGUUCGCCUCAGUUGCAGUGAGUAAGAUGACCUUCUGCGAUUUGGCUUUUCUGUUUUUUGGCAAUACCACCAAAAGGCAAACCCAGUGUUCAGGUGACAAUUCUACGUCAUUGAGCCUUCUUUACAUUUAUUCAUAUUUUUCUAUAUACACAGCAUUUAAUAUAUAUACCCAGUAUGAUGUGGUACAGUGUGUAAGAGGAAAGAUUGGAGUAGCAAG
ensembl:lncRNA